rnacentral:rRNA from 1 species
ACGCUGGCGGCGUGCCUAAUACAUGCAAGUAGAACGCUGAAGGAGGAGCUUGCUUCUCUGGAUGAGUUGCGAACGGGUGAGUAACGCGUAGGUAACCUGCCUGGUAGCGGGGGAUAACUAUUGGAAACGAUAGCUAAUACCGCAUAAUAGUAGAUGUUGCAUGACAUUUGCUUAAAAGGUGCAAUUGCAUCACUACCAGAUGGACCUGCGUUGUAUUAGCUAGUUGGUGGGGUAACGGCUCACCAAGGCGACGAUACAUAGCCGACCUGAGAGGGUGAUCGGCCACACUGGGACUGAGACACGGCCCAGACUCCUACGGGAGGCAGCAGUAGGGAAUCUUCGGCAAUGGACGGAAGUCUGACCGAGCAACGCCGCGUGAGUGAAGAAGGUUUUCGGAUCGUAAAGCUCUGUUGUAAGAGAAGAACGAGUGUGAGAGUGGAAAGUUCACACUGUGACGGUAUCUUACCAGAAAGGGACGGCUAACUACGUGCCAGCAGCCGCGGUAAUACGUAGGUCCCGAGCGUUGUCCGGAUUUAUUGGGCGUAAAGCGAGCGCAGGCGGUUAGAUAAGUCUGAAGUUAAAGGCUGUGGCUUAACCAUAGUACGCUUUGGAAACUGUUUAACUUGAGUGCAAGAGGGGAGAGUGGAAUUCCAUGUGUAGUGGUGAAAUGCGUAGAUAUAUGGAGGAACACCGGUGGCGAAAGCGGCUCUCUGGCUUGUAACUGACGCUGAGGCUCGAAAGCGUGGGGAGCAAACAGGAUUAGAUACCUGGGUAGUCCACGCCGUAAACGAUGAGUGCUAGGUGUAGACCCUUUCCGGGGUUUAGUGCCGUAGCUAACGCAUUAAGCACUCCGCCUGGGGAGUACGACCGCAAGGUUGAAACUCAAAGGAAUUGACGGGGGCCCGCACAAGCGG